GACGAACGCUGGCGGCGUGCUUAACACAUGCAAGUCGAACGGAAAGGCCCUGCUUGCGGGGUACUCGAGUGUCGAACGGGUGAGUAACACAUGGGUGUUCUGCCCUCCACUUCGGGGUAAACCUUGGAAACUGUGUCUAAUACCCGAGAGGAGCCAUCUUUAUGCUGAUGGUUGGAUAGUUUUUUCGGUGUGGGAUGAGAUCGCGGCCUAUCAGGCUGUUUGUGGGGUAAUGGCCUACCAAGGCGGCGGCGGGUAGCCGGCCUGGGAGGGUGGACGGCCAAAAUGGGGAUGGGAUAAGGGCCAGACCCCCAAGGGGGGGAGCAGGGGGGAAUAAUGGAAAAUGGGGGGGAGGCUGAUGCCGCGAAGGCGCGUGGGGGAUGACGGGCCUCGGGUUGUAAAACCGCUUUGGUCGGGAAGAAGCCGUUUGUGACGGUAACUAGAUAAGAAGCACCGGCUAACUACGUG
rnacentral:rRNA from 1 species